UUAAUAGGGUGCUCCUGGUAGAAAAGGCAGGCAAGGAUCUCAAGGGAAUCCUGGACCUAAAGGUGUUCAAGGUAUGACUGGUGAUACUGGUGCUAGAGGAAGAACUGGUCUUGGUGU